AACGAACGCUGGCGGCAUGCCUAACACAUGCAAGUCGAACGAGACCUUCGGGUCUAGUGGCGCACGGGUGCGUAACGCGUGGGAACCUGCCCUUAGGUUCGGAAUAACUCCCCGAAAGGGGUGCUAAUACCGGAUAAUGUCUUCGGACCAAAGAUUUAUCGCCUUUGGAUGGGCCCGCGUUGGAUUAGCUAGUUGGUAGGGUAAAAGCCUACCAAGGCGACGAUCCAUAGCUGGUCUGAGAGGAUGAUCAGCCACACUGGGACUGAGACACGGCCCAGACUCCUACGGGAGGCAGCAGUGGGGAAUAGUGGACAAUGGGCGAAAGCCUGAUCCAGCAAUGCCGCGUGAGUGAUGAAGGCCUUAGGGUUGUAAAGCUCUUUUACCCGGGAUGAUAAUGGCAGUACCGGGAGAAUAAGCUCCGGCUAACUCCGUG
rnacentral:rRNA from 1 species